rnacentral:misc_RNA from 1 species
UUUCCGUAGGUGAACCUGCGGAAGGAUCAUUCAUAAUAAGUGUUUUACUGCACUUUUUAAAAAUAGUACUCACCUUGUGUGCCAUGUUGUGUUUCUUUUCGGAGAAACACCUACACCAACCUAUAACCUUGAACCACUUCGUCUGAAAAACUAUUAUGAAUACUUAAUUCAAAAUACAACUUUCAACAACGGAUCUCUUGGCUCUC